CCUCCUACGGGGGGCAGCAGUAAGGGAUAUUGGUCAAUGGGGGAAACCCUGAACCAGCAACGCCGCGUGAGGGAAGACGGUUUUCGGAUUGUAAACCUCUGUCCUCUGUGAAGAUGAUGACGGUAGCAGAGGAGGAAGCUCCGGCUAACUACGUGCCAGCAGCCGCGGUAAUACGUAGGGAGCGAGCGUUGUCCGGAUUUACUGGGUGUAAAGGGAGCGUAGACGGCCAUGCAAGCCAGGGGUGAAAGCCCGG
rnacentral:rRNA from 1 species